GACCAGGGCUUUGAGCCAUGGUCUCCCCCUCCCAACCCCCGGCCAACAAACCCAGCUCUGAGGCUGAUUCCCCAGCCAGCAGCCUCUCACUGUAAGCCUAGAGGGCUGCCAAUGUCUCAUUCAUCCCGCCAUCCCAAGGCACUGCCUUGGGAUAUCCAGGAAAUAUUGGAAGCUCUUAAAGUAAAUACUGUCCCUUUUUUCAUUAUCAGAAUGGAAAGAAGGAAAUGUCUCUUCCGUAUUGACAUUAUACCUUAUCAUCCCUUCCCUCAGCCUCUUUUUAAUUAAUUCAGAGAAUCCUAUAACACUUGAGGUUUUGGAAGUGUCACCUCCAACGCUUGUAUUUAAUUAGAAGGUAUUCCCAAAUUCGAGGAAUUCUGGGUCACCUUGUCCCUCUUUCCAUCCCCAAAGUUGAGAGGUAACAGGUCCGUCUAUAUUUGAACUGUGAAUGGAUGACACCUUUCUCCUGGGCAAUUUAAGCUGGGAGUUCUUAACCUUUUUGAUUGACAUGGAUGCCUCCCUUGGGAAAUAUGGUGAAACCCAUUGUCAGAAUAAUGUUUUUAAAUGUGUAAAAUAAAAAUGCAUGAGAUUACAAAGAAAACCCAUUAUUUUAACAUAAAAAUGAGCCCUCCCCCCCAAUUUUUUGUUUUUGUUUUAACUUUCCAGAUCCUAGCUUUGAGAUUAAAUAUUCUUUGUUAUAUGGGAUGGCUCUCCUGGAGUGAAAAGAAGUCAGGCUACAAGGGGAAAUUUCAGCAAUGAAAAAAAUGAAAUAUAUCAAUAAAAAUGUAUUUAAAAGAAAUAAAAAUGCCUGAUUAGGUCAGACCUUGCCAAUCAAACAGAUUUCUUAAAUAUUAUUGUUAUUCUUUGCAUCACUAUUUCCAAAUAUAUUUCACCUCCAAACACUCCCCAUGGAACCAUCUCUUGUAACAAAGAAAAAAAAAAAAGAGGAAUAAAAGGAGUCCAGCAAUGCAGAGUCUCACUUUAUGCUACAGCCUGCAAAGGAGAGAGACGGGAGGAUGUUUUCUACUGUCCUUUUGGGGGGCCAAGCUCCAUUAUUGUAAUUGCACAGCUUUUGGUUUCAUUUCUGCUUUUGUUUUUUGUCAAACGGACUUCCAAAAACAAGUGAAGAAAGAAAAAGCAGAAAAUAUGGCCAUUGUUCAUUCACACAGCAGCCCACGAGCCCCCCGGGGGUGCGGAGGCUGGCGUGCUGGUAUUGGAAAUGAAUAACGUUCUAAAUAGGCAUCCUUGAAUUUCCGUGUUCACAAGCCCCAUUCUCCUCUGCUUCUGCUCAUUGGAGAUGGUGGAGCUCCUUGGAAAAGGGACCCAAUUGGAGGGUCAUGUAUGAGUGCCCGUUGGUGGUCUCACCCAGUGGGCCAGGAGUUUAUCUCAGAGACUGCAGGUGCCAGGGGUGGGUAAGUUAUAGUCUGGGUACAAAACCCACUUCUGAUGCCCGAGUUGUUGGGAGAUAAAUGAAAAGGAGGAAAGAUAUCAGGCUGUUUAUGUUUUGUUUUUUCCCAAAUAGAUUUUUUUCUUCUUCUUUUUUUUUUUUUUCUUUAUAUUGCUGCCAGGGGCCGCUGGGCUGCUGACCUGUUCCUCUCUCAAAUCUUAUUUCUUAUCGAAAUAGAAAAUGCAUGAAUUGGUCUGGUGGCUUAAGGGGAAGAGGGUUUCCUGCUUAUAGACUGAUUUGGGGACUGACAGCAGCUUGGAGGAGGGAGAGCUAGGGAGAAGAUAGAAGGCUUGGGAGCAGAUUCUGGCAUUGACAUUUAUUAGCUGUGUGACCUUGCACAAGUCUAUUAGCCCUUUGAACCUCAGUUUUCCCCAUCUAGAAAAAGGGGUGGUUGAGCCACCUGACCUCUAAGGUCCCUGUCAGAUUUUACUUUCUGUGAUUUUAUGUUUAGCUGCUGAAGAAAGGAUGGUUUGGCUUUCCUGGAUCCUGUGCUGACUAAUGCCAUUCUGUUGACUUGCAUUACCACUUUAUUCAGUAUUUACUUUAUUGUGUGUUUAUCCUCAUAGAAUUUCAGAACCAGGGAACCCCAGAGGUCAGCUAGUUUAACCUCCUACCUCAUGAAGGACUCCCUUCUGGGGCUUUCUCAGGGAAGUGAUCAAUUAGCUUCUGUUAAUACACAGCCUGACACGUGGUGUUGGGACAAAAAGGAAUUCAUUUCCUAGAACUUGCCCCAGGUGGUUCAGCAGCCUGAGCCCCUGCAGCCCAGUUCUGAUUCUCCAUGAAGCAGGUACAGGAGCUGAGACCAGGGCCAGGUGGAUGAAACCCCUGCCCUCCCCUUCCUCUCACAUAGAGAACCGGAGAGCAGCCAAAGGCCUGCUGGGCCGCAGAACCAGUUUUAAUUCCUCAUGAGCAUCCAGGCUUCUCUUUCAGCCUAGAAAAAAGUGGGUAUUCAUUUGUGUCCAGCACCUUCUUCCCCUGUCGCUACCUGCCUACCUUAAUGAUCAAAGCUGCUGAUGAGAAAGCAAGAGAUGCCUUGGCUGGAGGACAAAUGGCAGAGGUCCUUCCUCGCCUUGGCCAUCCCUGCCUGGGCCAAGUAAAAUGCCCUGGUCCAUUUAGAAUUAUCUGUAUAUACUUUCUCUAACCCACUGCCGCGAUGGCUCCUCUCAUCUCUGACAUCAGGGCUCGUGCCCCUAUAACUCAUACUCUGAACUCCGGGGGAAAUUCUCUAGAGAAAAGUCAGAGGAAGAAGUGUCUGGGGGAUAAAAGAAACUCACACAGACUCAGCCUAGUUUUUCUGAAUAGGAAGGUGGGAAGGCAUCAGACAUACUUCCCACACUCCCAGUUGUCUCCAGGGGCUGAAAGAAUGACGAUUAACAAAAGUCUGGGUUAACAAAUUUCUCUGUGUGGGAAACAUACCAGUAGUGGGCAGGUCAUUUUGGCAUCUUUUGGGGGCUGUUGUUAAGGAGCUCCAGCCAGCCCUGCUUCCCUCUAUCCACCCACCAACCACCUGCUGGCAGGUACCUUCCCUAGUGUGAUUUUGGUGGGGAAUGAAAUUCCACUAUUUGUUAAAUAGCAUACCACACCAUCUAGUGGUAAGCAGCUGAGCUCAGCAGAAAGGACAAAUCCCCCUGGUUAAUGCUUAUAAAGUACUCUAAGGUUUACUGAACUCUUGACAAAAUUGGAAUCUCACAAUAACCCUGGGAUUGAUUGAUUGGAUGUAGAUACUAUUAUUAUCCUAUUUUAUGUAUAACAAAACCGAGUUUGAGAGAGGGUGACUUGUCUAAGGUCACAUAGCUUUUAAAUAUUUAAGAUAAAAUUUGAACUCACUAUCUUAACAAUGUCAAGUCCAGUGUUCUACCUCCUUGCCAUCUUGCUGCCUCUCAACCUCUGUCUUUUUUUAUGUUUAAAUUUAAUUUUUUGUUCAGUUAACAAAAAUCUCCCUCUCCCAAUAAAAAGAAAAGAAAGCAAUAAACAUUCAAGCAAAAUAGGCAUUGAUGAUGUCCAAAUAAAAUAUAACUCAAUAUGCACCUUGAGUCCAUCUUUUCUCUGACAAUCAAAUAGCAUUUAUUAAAUAUCUACUAUGGGCCAAUCACUCUGCCAAGUAUUGGGGAGGCAAAUUUCUUCCCAAGUUUUCUGUCCUGGAUCAUCACUUUCUUCUGGAAACCCUGUGAAUACCCUGGUCUCAAAGAACUCACAGUGCACUGAGAUUGUCGGGAGUUAAGCAGCAUGUUUCAUCCUAAACCCUCUAGCAUAGUCAGCCCUCAUGUCUUAUCAGUCAGGUUAGCUAGAUCCUCACCCUCUCUUGCUCAGAGAGCCUCAUUUAUUGGUGAUUAAGGGAAUAGGUGACUUAACCACAAUCUUUUUUUUAAUUGCUUCAGUUCUAAGCACUAUGAUAUAAGCCUUAGGUUUGAGGUUGUAUCAGCACUAAGAAUCAGUAGGAUAGAUACUAUUUUUGAGCUUGCCUGAUACAGAAUUUGGCAGCUUGGCUGUCCUGUAACCUUGCCUUGCAGAUAGGUUUUAAGGUUCUGAGACGUUUUCUCCCUUUCAUUGACUAUUCUCCAGAUUUGUUUGCAGUGAUCUUUUUACUUCCAUUCAUCAUUUCAUUUAUUAACUCAAAUAACCUUAAAUUUGGAAGGAAUCUUGGAGGUCAUCCAUCCCAAACUGAAUCUCAUCUUCAGUGAGUAGUCAUCUGCCCUUGCUUGGAUAAUCACAGGAGUUCACUAGUUUGUAAUGUGGUUAAUUCUACUGUUGAUCAUCAGAAAAUUCUUCCUUGUGUUGAACUAUAUAUAAUCUGCCUAAAUUCUUGAGCCAAGGACUGAUGUGGUUAGACCUAUCUAUGAGGACUAAUUUUUUUUUUUUUUUUGCUCAGGCAAUUGGGUUUAAGGGACUUGCCUAGGCUCACACAGCUAGGAAGUGUUAAAUGUCUGAGGCCACAUUUGAACUCAAGUCCUGCUGACUUCAGGGCUGAUGCUCUAUCUACUGCAUCACCUAGCUGCCCUUGCCUGAGGACUAGUAAUUUGGAUUAUCCUACAGAUGAGCCAGUAAAACUGGAAAUUAGGGGCAGGGAGACCAUUUAGGAGCCUCUUAUAAAAAUAUGGGAGAGAGGUAAUAAAGACUUGAACUAGAAUGAUGGCCAAGUGGAUGGCAAGCAAAAGAGAUCAUGUGGAAAGAAAGUUGCCACAGAUUAGUUAUGGGGCAUAAGAAAAAAGGAAGACUCCAGGAUGAUGCUAAGGAUUCAAAUCUGGAUAACUGGAAGGAUGGAGGUGCUGUCAAAAGAAAGAGGGAAAUUUGGGGAAGGGAUGACUUAAGGGAAGAAAUAUGAGUUUGGUUUUUAGACAUGUUGAAUUUGUAGACCAUGUAGGUGGACAUGUCCAAGAGAUAAUAAGGAACUCGAAUUCAAGAGAGAUUGGGUAUUAGAUGUAUAGAUUUAGAACUUGACUAUAUAGAUAUGAUUAUUAUAUAGAGUAGGCAGGUAAGAAGAAGUGAUAAUCCAUUACAGGAAACUUGAAAAGGAAUGGUCAGAUAGGUAGGAGGACAAGCAAAAAGGGAUAAUUGUAACGAAAACCUAAGGAGGAAAGGAUGUCUAGAUAGGGGGGUAGAUUGUAAAGUCAAUAGUUGCAAACAAGUUAGGAAGGAUAUGGACUGGGUAGGUGGGGGGAGAUAUUGCAUUUGCCUUGAAUAAAGCAGUUUCAUUCAGUGAUGCAGUAAAAGUCAGAUUUCAAGAGUUUGAAAUGAAUGUAGGAAUUGAGAAAAUUGAUGUAGAUAACUUACUUUGUUUGACUAUGAAAGGGAAAAGAGAUGUAGGCAGAUAGCUUGAAGAAAUGGCAGUUAUGUGAAGGUUUUUUAAAGAUAUGGAAUGUUUGUGGGUAAUGGGAAAGGAGCUAGUAGAUAAAGGGAAAUUGAAGAUAAAGAGAAAGAGAGAAUUGGAAUAAUCAAGGGCGCAAGUCUUGGAAAAGAUAAGAAGGGAUUAUAUGAGAAACACAAGUGGAAGUAUUAGCAAGGAGAA